UCGAAGUUGUGUGUGCUCGAGAUUACGCCGAUAAGCACGCUUGUUCGGUUGGCUGCUGGUUCAAAAAACCUUGCCCUAUCCGUCACGUAUUUGAAGGUCAGCCCCUUAUUUCCAACACCGCAUCUCUUCCACGAGGAUGGGAAUCUGAUUCGGUAGGGGCAAUACUUGUAGAGGUACAAGGUAACAAAAGCAACAAAUAGCCCUGACAGUAUCGAAAGCGUUAGAGUCAUUCUGAGGUACUUCAUGACGAGGACAACGUAUUAUACUGCUAAGUUAAACGGCGAUUUCUUUCGCAUACUGUAUUCGUGGCAUUUACACACCGCUAACUUAUAGCUUUGCUUAUUGAAACCAAUUGCUUUUCU